rnacentral:lncRNA from 1 species
CUUACGACAACCUUACGACGAUUUUGGCUUGCGUGGAAUUAGCGUGCCCCGCUUUUUUUUUUUUUUUUUAAUUUCGUCGUAAACUCCUCGUGGCCUUACGACAACCUUACGACGAUUUUGGCUUACGAGGAAUUAACGAGUAUUACGUAUAAAUCCCUAAAAUCCGAAACCCCAAACCCCAUCUUCCUUAUCUUCUACUUCAUAUAUUCCAAACCCCAAACCCAUCUACCCUUGAACCUCAAUCUAUUCUUUCACCUCAAACCCUAUUUAUAAAAUAUUCCAAACCCCAAACCACAAGUCCUUAUUCAUAAUUAAAAUAAACUUUCACAUU